AUGAGAUUUCCCCUUACGCCAAGUAAGUAAGAUCCCUCAGAGACGAUGAGGUUGAUAGGUCCGAGGUGGAAGCGUGGUGACACGUGGAGCUGACGGAUACUAAUGGAUCGAUGACUUAUCUAU
rnacentral:rRNA from 1 species